AUCANGUGGGACUACCCGCUGAACUUAAGCAUAUCAAUAA
rnacentral:rRNA from 1 species